AUGGUAAUAAUGACCUCCAUUUAAGGUCACUGGUGCUUGAAUGCUUUCGGUAUGUUGGCACAAAUUAUGCCACAUCCUGCUGAUCUUGGAAGUCGUGCCAGUUUACCCUAUGGGGUCAAAAGAAUUUUGAACACAGUGACAAGAGGUUAAAGAGUCUGAGCUCUUUUGGCUUGAACAAUUGAUCCUUAAUGGAAGACUUAUGUGGACUGGGUCUCAAUACUCUUGAGGCUGUGGGAAUUGCACGUAGCUGUCAUUUCAUUGGAAGAUAAGAUAGGAAACAGGAGUUUAAAAGGUGAUGGACAGAAUCUGUUUACUAAAGACGUGACAGUGAUCGAGGGA